CUAGGGAGAGGACCACCAUCUAAUUAAGGUGGUAGUGGUGUAUGUUGUGGUAAUGAGUGGAUGUAAUAGGUGUAAUGCGUGAAUGUUAUGGUAAUGAGUGGAUGUAAUGGGUGUAGUGGAUGAGUGUUUGGUAAUGAGUGGAUGUAAUGGGUGUAGUGGAUGAGUGUUUGGUAAUGAGUGGAUGUAAAGGGUGUAGUGGAUGGAUGUUUGGUAAUGAGUGGAUGUAAUGGGUGUGGUGGAUAAGUGUUUGUAGUUGUAGGUCAACACACUGCACACACACAUGCUGAUUUCUAACCUUCUAAUCUUCAAAAACGUCCAUCAUCAUGUCUCCAUGCUUGCACCAUCCAAUCUUGGCCCAAAAAUGCUCCAAAUAGCACUUUGUUGUCAACUUUGUUAUUUAAACCUACAAACACAGGAAAAUAGCUUAAAAUACAUAAUUAACUAAGAAAUAACAACACAAAUGCACAAGAACAAACUAACUAAGUCGCAUAAAUAUGCUCCGAUCAGCCACUUAGCCCUGAGGCAAGUGAAUGCACAACAAGGGAUCUUUAACCUUCAAACCUUUUAAGGGAGAAUACUUUAUGAUAUGAUUAAGAAUCUCUCGCCAUAGUAUAAAUGAGAUAUAGGAAUUUGUUCCAAAUCACAUUCAAGGUAAUCAUAUAAGUAAAAGAAUCACAUUAGAUAAUAAACAUGAAUAAACUAUCAAACCAAACAAUGUGGUCAAGAGUAUUGUAAUAGAGAAAAACCGUAUUACAUUGUAAUCCUAAACUGAAUAGGUUAUCCACCUUUUCUGAUUAGCUUGGGUAGCCAUGACAUACUGCUAGGUGUCACUCAUGGUUUGUGGAAGCCUUAAAGGUGUAUAAUCACUAAAGGGAUAAUUGAAAGUUAGUUUCAAUUCACAAUCAAUUUGAAGAAUUCUAAUCGCUCGCUGCCUCGCUAAAAGGAACCUCAUGGAUCGUACACCGUGUAAGGUAGUGAUUGAAGAAACAACGAAGAUGAGUAAGGAUAAUUAAAUGGUUUAAUUAUUUAUGGCUAGGAUUAAUUAAUAUGUUAAUUAAUCAAAUGAAUAAGUUCAGUUUUUAGCUUUUGAGUAAUUAUUGGACCUCAAGGCCCAUUGGGCUUAGAACCAUCAAGCCCAUUAACUUAAGUUGUAUGACAACUGAAUGACUAAAGACUCAAAAGGGCCCAAACAGCCCAAAGCCUUUAGAAGGCUGGCCAUAUCAUGAAUGAAAGGGUUUUGGUUCUUUUUGUCACUUAAGUGAAGUUUAAGUAAAGUGACUAUAUAAAGGAUUUUAUAGCCAAAAUUCAAAAGGGUUCUCUUUUGAGGAAAUUGAAGAGAACAAAAACUCUUAUUUUCACUCUAAGAGCCUGGCCCCCUUGGAAGGAAUUUACUAGUAUCAAUCCUCCAUCAAGGUCGCUCAUCUCUUUUUCAAGUCCCUCCUUGGUGUGGAAACUUAGAGGUUCCCUUUCUUGGAAACUUGGAGAAUCCAUUCAACCAUCCUCCUCCAAGAAAUCCAUGGAGCUAAGAAGUAAGGAAUGAAGGCCAUCUCUCUUGGAUGAUUAGCCUUUGCUUAUGCAAAGAGGAUUCAACAAAGGUAUAAUAUUUCUCAACUCACUUUGUUCUUGAGUGGAGUCUUGGUUCACCACCACUACUAGGCCUUGAAUUUCAUGGGUAAAGUUUUGUUUUUGAGUGCCUACAUGCAUGAUUCUGCCUUUAAUCGUUCAUUACAUGCAUAGAUGUUGCUCAAAUGAACUUCUUUUCACAAAUUAUUCCUUCAUAAUGGAUGGAACCUCCUUGCGAUUUGCUGCAGCCUCUUUUAGCACUUAAAUUGUGAAAUCUCAUCCCCAAAUUUCACUAUUUAAUUAUGUAUUUCGUAUUUACACAAUUUUAUUUAUUUUAUUUUGUUGAUUUUAGAGUUUUAGUUACUUAAUUACAACGUUUGAAUUUUCAUAGAUAGUCAUUUAAAACCCGUAGACUAUUGGGUCACACUUAGUGUUUUCGAAAAGAGCUCAAUUCCAAAAGUACAUAGGCAAAAACUAUUCUUGAAACGGAACUCUAAUGAAGAAAUUACGAGCAACAUAAGUAAAUGACCAAAAGGUAAAUUGGACCUAUUAGAAAUAGCAAGUCCAAUGUGGUAGGAAAGAGACCAAUCCUUUAUGGAAAAGUGGCAGCCAACCUAGAUCCUCUUCGAAGCCACCCACCACCACUAAACAACUCAUCGCCACUCCAACUUAGUUUUCCACCUAAGGAUCGCCCAGUUUGGGAUUGUUUCACGAAGAACGAAGGUCGUUGUUCUCUCGAGCUCACUUAGUAGGAUAAGGUUUUUGAUGUAUUUAAUGUGUUUUAAAAACGUGUAAUUCAAAUUCCCUUUAUACGGUUAUACCCCUAAGGCCUCGUUUAGUAGCUCGGAUAAUACUGAUUAUUUUAGUCAGAUAGGAUAAAUAGCCAUCAGAGAGUACUGACUAAAUUAGUCUGGCGUUUAGUGCAGUAUCGGACUAAUGAUCAUAUUAUUUAUACUGUAUUUUGUACUAUACCGAAUAAGAGGAAUUCAAAGUAUUAUUACUUUUAAAUUGAUGAUUAAUGGAAAAAAAGAAUUUUUUUUAUAGUAAAUAAAUUCACAACCACCAAAUGGAUUAAAUUAUAAAAAAGAACAAAAUCUUGUUUGCCAUUUUAAACUUUGAUUUGCACUUCGUAUUUGUGACAAUCCAUCCCUAAUUUUAAGUUUUAUAAAUUUUAAAAUAGUGAUUUUACGAAAAUGCCCUUAAAGGCGAGGAUGUUUGACUUUCGCCUAUGCGUUCGUAGCUUCAAGAUCUAUUCGGAAACAUUAAUUGUGAGUUUGGAGGCAUGAAAGAAGAAUCAUUGCAAUCCGAUCGCGACAGAAUGGCAAUCUCUUUUAUGCAACCACUCUAACUUGAUAUCUUCUUUACAUAUUUAUUUGGGUAAAUUACACUUUACCACCUCAGGUUUGGGGUCGAUUUCAAUU
rnacentral:lncRNA from 1 species